rnacentral:rRNA from 1 species
GAUGAACGCUGGCGGCGUGCCUAAUACAUGCAAGUCGAGCGAACAGACGAGGAGCUUGCUCCUCUGACGUUAGCGGCGGACGGGUGAGUAACACGUGGAUAACCUACCUAUAAGACUGGGAUAACUUCGGGAAACCGGAGCUAAUACCGGAUCAUAUAUUGAACCGCAUGGUUCAAUAGUGAAAGACGGUUUUGCUGUCACUUAUAGAUGGAUCCGCGCCGCAUUAGCUAGUUGGUAAGGUAACGGCUUACCAAGGCAACGAUGCGUAGCCGACCUGAGAGGGUGAACGGCCACACUGGAACUGAGACACGGUCCAGACUCCUACGGGAGGCAGCAGUAGGGAAUCUUCCGCAAUGGGCGAAAGCUUGACGGAGCAACGCCGCGUGAGUGAUGAAGGUCUUCGGAUCGGAAAACUCUGUUAUUAGGGAAGAACAAAUGUGUAAGUAACUAUGCACGUCUUGACGGUACCUAAUCAGAAAGCCACGGCUAACUACGUG